UCCACGCUGUAAACGAUGAGUACUAGCUGUUGGAUCUGGUGUAAAAGAUUUAGUGGCGCAGCUAACGCGUUAAGUACUCCGCCUGGGGACUACGGCCGCAAGGCUAAAACUCAAAGGAAUUGACGGGGACCCGCACAAGCGGUGGAGCAUGUGGUUUAAUUCGAUAAUACGCGAGGAACCUUACCCGGGCUCAAAUGCUGGACGACAGUCCCUGAAAGGGGAUCUCCUUCGGGCGUCCAGCAAGGUGCUGCAUGGUUGUCGUCAGCUCGUGCCGUGAGGUGUCGGGUUAAGUCCCAUAACGAGCGCAACCCCUACCUUAGUUACCAGCAUGUUAUGAUGGGGACUCUGAGGGAACUGCCUACGCAAGUAGAGA
rnacentral:rRNA from 1 species